GAAAGAAAGUAGUGAAAAAAGUUUUGUGGUCAUUCUUGGCGACGUCGACGUCUACGCGUUCGAGGGCGCAACGAAAACCAUAGACCAUGGCGCUGAAAUCGGCAAUAGUCGCAGCAGCAAUCGUCUAUUUCUUCUAGUCCGCAUUUUCGUUGGUAAUACAUGUGUCCGUCCUCUGGUCAUGUGUGCAUAAAUUGCGCCAAUUUUGCGCAUAUAUUUAUUAAACUAUAGUAAAUAAUUUGUGUGCGCUAAGUUCUCAAAUAUAUGUUAAUAAAAAAUAUAUAAUGUUUGAUUUUAUGGUUUGCAUUUGGCCGAUUUCAUUGCAUUUUUGCCUUACGUUUUCGCCAUUUUCAUAAUUUCAAAACACAUACAUCUUUCUCUUUCAGUCUGAUAUAUAUUUAAUAUUAUUUACGCAUAUAUUAAGUGCAAAGUAAGUUUAGUGUGCUCGCUUUAUUGAAAAAUGCAUCUGAAAUAGCAAUGAAACCUAUCGGAAUUGUAACAUGAGUGGAUCAAAACAGAAGAAAACAUUAGGGAGAAUCCAAUAAAAACAUUGAAAGCAAUAGAAUACUUUUUUGUACAUUCCGUAAAACAACAAAUUCCGUAAACAUUUGUGAUUUUAUUAUAAUAAUUUACAUUAUUAGCAUAAGUUUUAUACUUCAUUAGAAAAAUAUUUGGCGUAUACUAAAUUCUUGGAAGAAGAUUGGAUUCUCGCGGUUAUCUAAACGCUUUUUUUACCUUUAAGCAAGCAUUAUCAAUAGCAUUACCAGUACACAUUUUUUCUGCUAAAUAACAACAUCUAAUUUCUCGAUCAUUGUUAUGGUUUCUCAAGAGUGUUAUAUAUUGCAUUAUUAAAUCAUAAAAUACAUUUUAAGCGUAUUUUUAAUAAAUAUGCGACUGCUGUUUAUUGUGUAACAAUAUACAUAUGUAGCAAUUAUUUCCGAGAAUAUCUUAGAGAAAAGAGCUUUGAAUUUUGUUGAGUUAUUAGACAUUCGUCUGCUUUGUUUUAAAAAGUUUACGUUGCUUACGUAUUAUCGCCACCGAAGCAUAAAUUUAAAGCAAUCGUGACCAACCGCGGUAUUUUAUGUAUUGUCGUUUAGGACUACUUUCUGCAUUGGCGGUCUUCGAACUCCUUUUAAAAAUUAAUACUUUUUGGAAUAAUAACGCAGUGGUGUCCUUAAAACAUGUAAGUGUCGUGCUUUUAAUAUGUAAUUAAACAUUUUACUUUUAAUAAUCGCCUUAAUGGAAAUGACAUGGAAAACCAAUACAUAUGUUCUCCCCUCCCUAAUAUGUCUUUCACAUUUGUUAUUACAUCAGUAUUGUUCCUAAUGUUGAACAUUCCUGUAUGAAGAGAAAUUUCGGAAAUUGAAACAAUUUCGUUUCGUUCUCGUAGUGAUAACAAUAUAUUGAAAUGGUAAACAAUUUAGUUGGUUGGUAAUGGAACGCUAUGAUCCGUCUAUUAAAUUAUUUUUGAGUAUGUUGGGGAAAAAACGUUGGGAAUGGAAAUACCAACAAGUAUAUACAUAUUUAUAUACACAUGCGUAUCUGUCAAUUCAAAUGUUCGAGCAGACAAUUGGGUGAUGGCUUUACUUCCUACAAACUGUUCAUGAGUUGCAAAAUAUAGGAAAGUACAUAUAUAUUUACAUGAAUUAAAAGCUUCACUUCUAUUUUUCAACUUGACCAACUGUCAACUGCCUUUGUAAAUAUUAAGCAUUCAAAAUGAAGGUUAUUUAUGCUUUGAAGACCUUGUUUAUUGAAAAUACAAUUUUUUUUUUAAUAUAUGGGACAACAAAAACUCGGAUGUUUUUCUCUCAAUUUGCAAACAUACGUACUUAUAUGAAUCAUAGUACAUAUUAGCGAAUGUGUUCCGCUGUCUCUUAUUUGACUGACAAUUUAACAUGCUGUUGCAUACCAUAUGUGUAUACCUGUUACCUUUUCGUACCAAGUUGAGCCGCAGAUCAUUUUUGAUACGCUAAUGUUGGCUCUUUUACACUCAUUAAGUGCACUAAAUCGUUAAAGCGAUAUUUACAUUAAGACCAACGUGUGCAACUACUCGUUCGUAUAAAAAUACAUAUCCAUACAUUCUACGUUGUGCCAAACUCUCAAUUAUUUCGACUUUGUGUCAUUUGUCAGAUUAUUGAGUGCGCGUAUUCAAAAUUAAGAGCGCGCACUGACAUUUUUUUUUUAAUUAUAUAGUAUGUUCAACUGUUCGUAUUAAUGACCCUUUGGUGGUGGCUCGUUGCGUUUGUGCAUUCCCAAGCACUAUGAGUUACGGCUGUUUUCUUAUUCACAUAAAUACUUAUGGAAUAUUGUGUUCCACAUGUCACAGCAUCCCCUAGCGAGCGGCGAGCGGCGGUUAGACAGCAGUUGAGCGAGCAAGCGAGCGAGUGUGAGUGAGUGAGUGAGUGAACCAUAGCGAGUGAAAUGGGCCGCCGUGAGAAUUGUUCGAUUCAUUGUUGCUUGGACGUGGCAGCCAUGACGUGAUUUCUGAUUUCGACUUGGGGAACUUUAUUGUGAAAAUAUCCAUAAAUUCCUUAAAAAUUGCGUUUUUAUUCGCGUAAAUAACUAAUAAGGUGUGUAAAUGAUAUGUAACAUUGAUUGCGAGUGAAUAUUUUGUGUUUAUGGAACAGUGGAGUGAUUAAUUAUAGAAUUGUGAAAAUUUAAGACAGCGAAAAAACGUACAAGAGAGAAAGCUCUUUCACACCGCAGAAACACAUGUAGUCUAAGAAUCCCAAGGAAUGAAAAAGAACAUCGGAAUAAUAUCAGAAUUAGUACGUCAAUAAGUCCAAAAUCACCAACAACGACACCACGCCAACCAGCCCAACAUCAAAUCAAUCGCAACAAUUGACAAACCAGUAACAACACAAAAAGUGCAUACAUUCUCUAACAGGGCAAAGUAGAGUGUGUGAAGAGCGAUAAGGCGGCUUGAAUUUAAAAGAGUGCUAUUUUGCAGUCCAACAAACAUACAAAAUUUUCGUCAUCACCUCAAGAGGCAAUUUUGUAUGCUAACAAGCAAGUUUUCUACAACAACACUCCAAACAUCUUAUAUUUCCACUUGAUUUUGUUCGUCCUGAAUUGUACGUCCAACCAUCAGUGUCGACGUCACCAAAAGGUACAUAAAAACUCUUUCUCGUCGAGCAAAGUUCCUUCAAAAUUCAUAACAAAAAAACAACAAGGUGAAACAGCGACUAGUGGAUAUUGGAAGCAUUUUUGGCAAACGGCAAAGAAAAUCUAUCUUAAAAUAUACGUAAACAAUACCGUAAUAUUAAUAUAAGAAACAACAACGAAGCAGUAGUGAUCGAAAAGUACUUGCUAGAGAGCAGCUGAGAAUAAGUUCCAGCGAGUGUUUGCAAAACCAACUACAACAACAACAAAAUAAUCGAGCGGUCGAGUCAAUUCGAAAAUAGUCAUAUCUGUAGAAAAAGCAAGAUCCAUCAGCGUUUUUUGUAGGUGUGUAUGUUUAUAUGCAACACACCCAACGCCGCCCCGCUACACCAGAUUCAUUUUGUUUUGUCAUUCGCUCGUUAAUACAUAAUUUACUCGUCGUUUUUCAACGAACGUGUUUAUUAACACAGCUGGUAAAGUUACAGGUAACCAGCAAAUUUUGAGAGAGAAAUACUCUAGAGAAUAAGAGAGUGAGUGACACCAAGACUAUAAAAUUUAGUAAAUGAUCGAUUUUAUGAGAGGGUGAAUAUACAUAUUCGUAUGUUAAAUAAUACUGUAUAAGAAAAAAAACUGGUUUGUGUUACAAGAAAAAGGAAAGCAAAAAAUUUGCUUAACAACAACGAACAUCACAAUAACUGUUGGUCUGAAAAAAAAGAAAUUCUCUUCCAAGACAAACCACAGAGCCGAUUAUACGUUGUUUUGUGUUUCAAAGUUACUUGGUUAGGGUGCAAUUUUUUAGAAAAAAAAAUAAGUGCCUGUCAAAAAGGGUAGAGAGUGCAGUUUGAUUGAAAGAGUGUAAAAGGUCAGAGAGUGAUCGUACAGUGGAUUGGAGAAGAAGAGCGCAUGAAAUAGGAAGAGCGAGGAUAGAGAGUACAAAUUGCAAACUUGUUUCAUUCGACUUUGUGCUGAUAUGUCAACAUAAAACAACAAAUAGUGACAGCAACGUAUAAGCAGUCGGGGAGCAACAACAAGUGAUACAAAGCACGUACUAAACUGAAAUUAAAGUAGCAGUAACAGCAGCAGCACGAGCACAACAACAACGACAAAAGCAAGGCAAGCAAAGCACUACCUAACCAAACAACCAACUAACUAGCCAGUCAAGCAAGCAAGCAACCGCUUGGAAAACAACUCGUUUCGAUUUCGUUUCACAGAUACCUUUCGGACGUCGAUAAAGAUACCUUUAAUUUAAAAUGAACUUAAAUUAACAUAUACUAUAUAUGAUUGCGUCGCGCACACCAUAUAAUCGAGUGGAGAGAGAGUGAAUGAAUUGUGAUUCAAAAAGUUAUUUAGUUUUUUAGAAGCCGAAAUAAAAAAUCACGCAAUAGAAAAUUGUACAAAUUAUAGUCGUAAUAAGUGCUCCACAUAAAAAGUGUAACUUCGAAACGUAGAUUGUGUGCUGAAUGCUGAAAUUGAUCAAAAUUUUGCAAGAAUAAAAUUAAUAUAAGUUUUUUAAUCAAAAGCUAAAGCAGUAGCACAGUAGAUACAUUAAUAAUAUUUCAACAAAAAGAGCAAAAGAAGCAAAAAUCAUAAAAACCACAAAAUCCCCAGAGCACCAAGAGCAAAAAAAAAAAAAAAACAACAAUAACUAAUUGAAGAAACGAGCAAAAAUUCCGCUUAUAUUAAAAUGAAACGUUGACAGAAACAACAGGAGAUAUAGAAGAAAUAAAAAAACGCAACGCUAUUGUUUUUGUUUCUUUCAUUUUGACAUUCUACAAGUGUGUGCAUAUUGAAUUAAAUAUAUAUUAUAAAAACCAUACACAAAUGACUUUUAGCAAUAACAACAAUAGCAGCUGAAACUCAAAGACAACGUCGCCACAUAUCUAUAUACCAACAUAGAAACAAAGCGAAAAUACAACCACAGCCAAGUAAAUAUUGUUGUCUUGCUUUAACACACCAAAUGUAGGCAGUGACAAAUGGAGAUACGUACAACGUAUCUUGCAGAUACCACAACUGUUUGUACUUUCAUCAACAGUAGUAGUAGUAGUAGUAGCAGCAGCAGCAACAGUAGCAAUCACAGCUACAACUAUAACUACAGCUAUAAUAGUAGUGGCAGUAAAUACCAACAAAAACAACGACUAAAUAUACAAUUAAUAUAAAAACAUAAAAACAACAAUAGCCAAUACAAUUACACAAAUAUAAUACCAAAAACACAGUAAUAACACAACCGCAGUGGCAGAAUCACCAGCAGCAGCAAAAUCCAUGCCUACCUUAACCCAAUUAAGUAAUUUCAUUAUUAUUUAACAAGAAAAUUCGUAUUACUUUGUGUACCAAAAAUACCUAAAUUCAAAUACCUAUCUCAGUGUAAUUGCAUCUAAUGUAGAUUUUACCCGUGAAAUAAUAAAAGAGAACAUUAAAAAAUUAUCACGUCGAACGACGGUGAGCGACGACCAAAACAGCCAACAAGGGCAUAACCAAUACACAAAUAGGCCACACAUAAGACGGUGAACAGCGGCUGCGAAAAAGCCCCCCUAAUACAGACAGUAAACAGAUCAGCAGGCGUGUCUGUGUCUGUGACUAUUUUUUAUUGCACACCGCAUACGCACACAUUAACAAAGCGUGAUCCACAGUCGAAUUAAUUGGAAAAAGAAAGAAAGAAGGCAAAUUUUUUCGUCGCAGUAUUGCUUAUAGAAUCGAAAAACUUAUAAGAUAUACUAUAUAUCGUAUCGAAAGAAACAUUUUAAAAGUCUAAUCAAAAGCAUUAAAUUGCAUAUACGAUCAAGACUCGUCAAUAAUUUUCGCCGCAAUCGCUGAUCAUAACCAAUGAAAAUCACGCGUAAUCAUCAUUCACAGUGGAUACGGAAGUGAAUAAAAAACACACAAUAAUAGUGUCCAAGAAAAGUUACUCUUCGUAGUGAAAUCAAAAAUUUACAACAACAAAGUCAAAUAAAAGACCAUAGCAACAAAGACGUCAAAUUAGUGUUGCAACUACGACAAAAAAAAAAACCUGUCGCUACACAAAUUUAAAAAACGCCCAAAUUCAGCUAAAGAAUUUUCUGCAACGAUCUUUCCUCCAAACAAUACUAGCGCAGGCGUUAACAAGUAUACACGUGGAAUGAUUGAUUCCUCAACAGUUAACACUACACGUAAAGGUUCCAGAAAAAACAAUUCAAUUGAAAUCGAGUAAAACUCGAUUAACAAAUAUUUAAAACUAUAAUCAAAAUAAAUACAACAAAGGUUAAAAGAGAAUCACUGCAAUACUACCACGUCCUAAGAGUUUGUAUUGUUAAAAAUCUACUACAGCGGCCAACAACAACUCUUCCACGGUUGAUGCUUCCUACAGAAAAGAAAAAGAAAAACAAAAACAAUUAAUACAUAACUCGAACAAACGUAAUACUUCCACAGUCGCAAAUCAAACUCCAAGCACUACUUAGAAACAGAAAUAAGUAUCUAAGUAAAAAGUAACUCAAUUGCGCCAAAAGUUUAACCAGCAACUGAAAUAUAUAAAAUAUUUGGAAAGGCCUUAACUGUAAUCCCACGUCGUCUAACAGCAAAGGAUAACAAAAACAAAACACCUUAAGACCAGCAAGUUGUAAAGUGUGUGAAUUAUCUAUUGAAUUAAUCACAACCUACCAACCCCCACGCAGUUUGAUUGUAUUGCGUUAUGACAAAUUCGAUCGCCACUGCAAAAUGCCCUUCAGCUCUCACGUCCGGCAACUAUGGCAUGUCACAAAAUCGUUACUCCGAUGAAUCCAAGGACUAUUUUUUUGUUAAACUCACAGAUUCUGCCUAUCGCGCCAUCGAGGAAUAUCAACACAAUGAGAAUAGCAAACGCUUCACAAAUGGUCAACGUCCCAAAAUUCAAGUCAAUGGCAAUUCCGGUGUCAUCUAUUUUCCCACAUUGGACAGCAAUGAAGGUCGUAAAUUUGGUUUUACUAUCGAUGAUAUUGAGGGCUCCCUUGAGUGUAUACAACAGACUACAGAAGGACUCGAUGUGCUCGGUUCAAUACCAUAUCGGAUGCGCAUCCAUGCCAACGAUGAUAUCUAUGACACGACUCGUACCAAAAUGGCAAUUGCCGAAGAGACGGAGAAGAGCAAAUGUAUACGGGAAAUUAAACCAAAUCAAACUGAUAUUGGACGUAAGGUGAAGAAAUCUGUGCCGUCAUCAACAGUCUAUCCGCAUGUGAGCCAUAGUGGAAAUAACAAUGGCAACAACAACAACAAUAGCAGUAGUAAUUAUUUAAGUAGCCUUAGUCGUAAUAAAUUAACAACGUCGCUGAAUAGCAAUUCGCCACCAACCACACAGCAUACGUUAAAUAGCGGUAGUGCAGCUAAUGAACGCUUCCACAAUAAGCUGGGUGGCACAAAUCUAUCCACAUCAUCCUCAUCCUCACGUUCACCUAAUCCCACGCUACUCGGUGGUUCGGGUACAAUUGCCAGUGGUAAUAGUAGCACCAAUAAUCGUUAUGGCAACGGUAGUGCGAGUAAUAUAUAUUCUCAGAACAACGUAUCACCCUCGCUACCAUCGCUAACGUCCGCCUCAUCGCUCUCUUCCACACUGGCGGCUGGCAUCGCCAAUGGAUAUGCGUCAGCUACACAACAUAAUUCGCCAAACGAAUCCUCCACAUCUACAUUAGUUAAUAGCAGUGUUAACAAUAAACAGUCACGGCUAGGCAGUAAUGCAGUGGGUGGUAAUGGCAAUUUUUCACGCGCUGGAAGCGGUGGCUCUUUCUCUAGUAACGGUACGAAGGCAGGUGGUGGUGGCACAAAAGGUGGCACUGCAUCAAAUGCGAAUGGUGGAGGUGGCAAGUUACCUGAUAUAUCGCGUCGUAAAAUACGUGAACGCCUUAUCCACUUACUUGCCUUGCGACCGUUCAAGAAGCCUGAAUUAUAUGCACGUUUACAAAACGAAGGAUUACGUGAUCGUGAACGCUCACUUAUAAGUAAUAUACUUAAGGAUAUUGCACUUUCACGCGAUAACACGUAUAAUUUACGGCGCCAAAUGUGGAAUGACGUAAACGAAAAUUGGCCAUAUUACACAGAGCAGGAGUUACAGCAGCUGAAACGUCGCAAGCCACAGAAUCUAACGCCACCAUUGAGCUCAGACGCGGGCAGCUCGACGUCGGGCCAGAGUCCAACUUCAACACACACGGGCAGCCCACCGCCAUUGUCGGGCGGUGGUGGUAUGAAUGGCGGCAACAGUUUGAAACGCACUAGUGUGGAGUACGAUGAGCAUUUUCCGCCGAAGAAGCAACGAAUUAGUCAUAUUCCGGCUACAGGCGGCGCGGGUGUGAAUCGCAUGAAUGCAGCGAACAAUGCUGGUGGUAGCGGUACACGUACCGGCGCCAAUUUUGGUAACAUGAACAACAGCAAAAAUAGUGGCAACUCCAACUUCUCAAUGCAGCGCAGCAAACAUACAACGGCGUCAGCAUCUACCUAUUCUCCACAAGGUCCUAGGAACACUACACAAACUAAUGAGAAUUCUGGCAACAGCGAUCUAAGCUACAAUGUGCUCAAUAAUAUGGACGAUUUUAUGCAGAAUUUAGAACAUCCGCAAGGAAGUGGUUAUAAUACAGCUCAUGGCAGCGGUAGUAGCGGCAACGGCAAUAAUGCACGAAAAUCCAAUAGUAGCGGCAACAGUAAAUCCGCCGGCAGCAAUCCGAAAGAAAAUCGUCACUCUGGCAACAACAGCAGUGUGUCCAGCGCAACGACAAACAUUUCGCCGAAAAAUAAUACCAACAGUGGCAACGGGAACAAUAGCAAUUAUAAUGUACAAGAGCAUGAAGGCAGCAGUAAUAAUAUGAAGCAUACACUAAAACGUGGUCCAUUAGCAGGCUCGCCGAAGAGUUCCUUGCCGUACGGAGUUAAUUUCGUACCAGAGUCUAGUAGUAGUAGUAGUAAUAAUAGAACUGCAGGACGUGAUAAUAGCAAUCGGAGUGGCAGUGGCAGUGGUAGUGCGAACUACCGCCACCAAUCGCCCAACUAUGCGCAGCAUCAGCAACAACAACAACAAAAGUCAAGUAAUAGUGUCAUAUACUCGCCAAAAAUGCACGGAACUGCGAACGCCGUUAAAAAUGAGCGUGAAGAGCAUGUGUCGGCAGCGAGAAGUAGUAGCAACAACAAAAGUCAGACAACGUCCCGUUCAAUGGGCUCAUCAGCGGCGGCGUCAUCAGGUAGUAGUAGUAAACAACAAAUGCGUGGAGUUGGUGUACGCACACCUACACCACCCGUACAAGAACAACAACGGCACUUGCAACAGGGUACACAUUACCAAUCGCAACAAACGCAUUCCGCCAGCACAAACUCCCCAGUGCAACGGCAUAACCAACAAUCUACCCAACAACAUCUCCAUCAGCAGCAGCAGCAGCACCAGCAUCAGCAGCUCCAAUUUGAAAGUAAUGCUCAACUGCCGAUCACGCAGCAUUCCGCCAUCACCGAUCCAGUUGACGUAGACGCCGCCGAAAUGCCCAACUAUGAUUUCAGCAGUUACACAGCAAUCACAAGCAUCGAACAGCGACGCCAAUACAAGACUGAAUUUGAACGGGAUUACGAUGAGUAUCGCCAACUGUUAGAACGCAUCGAAGAUGUACGCCGCAACUUCCAGGUGCUGGCUGAUCAAUUGCAACGUGCACCACAAGGUUGCUCCGAUUACGAGCAUAUUAAGGAGCAAAUUGUGGCCGAAUAUGAGCGUAUUAACAAUGAAGAAGAGUUGAAGCGCGACAAACAACGUUUUGACUACUUGCAUGCUAAAUUGGCGCAUAUAAAGCAGCUGGUGACCGAUUAUGAUAAACAAUUGACAUCGAUGGCGGCGGCUGCUGCUGCGGUGGCGGCAGCCCAACAGCAUCAGCAGCAGCAACAACAACAGCAAGAGCAACAAUUCUUGCAACAUGCCUCCACAACGGCGGCUAUGCAUAUGGCAGCCGGUGCCACGUCACACUAUGUAGAUGGCAGUACGAAUGUUUUGACCGCUGCGACUGCGCAUAGUGCACGUGUCUCGCCGAUGGUGAGUGGCAGCGAAAGCAAUCAUUCACCACCAAGUGGCUAUCAAAAUCAAACGCAAUACUAUAUGCAACAGCAACAACAACAACAACCAAAUCAUAUAACACAACACCAACAAGAGCAACAUCAGCACAAUGAUGAGAGCUUACAUAGGAAGAAGAAACAUACACACAACACCGUACAACGGCACCACAACCAACAGCAACAACAACAACAGCAGCAGCAGCAACAGUACUAUUUGUCGCCGGACAACCAAACACACGCGUCAUCUUUCGAUGAACAACAUAAUAAUAAUAGCGCACAGCAGCACCAGCAACAGGAACAAUACAAUGGUCAUCAUCAUUAUCAGGGCAAUAAUAAUAAUAAUAAUCAACAUAAUAAUGAUGAUUCCGAUUCAGAUGAUUCUUCCGACUCAAAUGAUGAAGAUUCUAACGAUGAUGACUCAAAUGAUGACGAUGAUGAUAACGGCUCGGAACGUGAUUCGAACAAUGAUGAUGACGUCAAUGAACACUUUUGAUUUUGUGCUUGCUUAUUGGAGUGAGACUUCUUUAAUAUAAAUAUGAGUAUAAAAACAAGAAUACGAGUGUAAUUGAAGAGAAGUAGGAUGUUUUGUAUGAGUUUGCAAGCGUGGCGUAUUUAUGCUAUUAGUGAUUGUGCCUAGUUUUAUAUUUGAACUUAACUCGCUAACGGUUUUAAUAUGUUGGUAUUACUGGCUAUCAUUGCAUUUUUGAAUGUAGUACCGCCGACGACGGCACGCCUGCAGCAAAAACACACAAGUGCAUAUACAGAAAUAUACUUACUAUAACGUAAAUAGGUUGCUUUUGUAAAUAUAUAUUUUUUACUAUAAACAAACAGCAUUGAUCGCUAAGACCGUUUUCACACGGGCAAUUUUUGUCGCGGCAAUUCUUAGUUUUAUAGGAGAGGGGGACACCAAGGGAAGCGAGAGAGAGAGAAAUUCUCGUCUCUUCGUCGCCCCCUCUCCUAUAAAACUAAGAAUUGCCGCGACAAAAAUUGCCUGUGUGAAAACGGUCUAAUUGUUAUAAAUGCGCACUGAUUGCAAAAUUUUCGCAGCAUUAGAAUUUUGUAUUAAAAGCGAAGCAAAGAGGAUAUGAAUGUGAAAGUGAAUUUGAAAGUGUAAAGAGAGCGUAAAAUAUCCUAAAAACAAAAAAAAAAUAUUUUAUUAUAAAAGAAGAAACGCAUAUGUAUAUCGUAAAAAUUUACUUACAUUUAAAAAUAGUAUACACACAUACAUAAUAAAAUAUAUUUUUAAAUCAAUUGAAAAACAAACAAAAAAACUAGAGCAAGCAAGAAGAAAUUUUAAGGAAAGAAGUAAUUGUGUAAUAAUUAGUUUUAAAUGGCAAACGCCCAUAUUUGUUUUAGGUUUAUGCUUUUUUUGCCGUCUUACUACCUGUAUAAUACAUAAUUUGGAAAUGUUUAUUGCAAACCGUUUAUUAUAUAUGUAUAAUGGAAGGGCCCAGCUGUAAUAAUUAAAUAUUUUACAAGCAAUUGUUGAACUUGAAGUUACAAACAAAAAAAAAAAAAUACGAAAAAAAUAAAAAGUUAAAAAUAUUAGUUAAAUAUGAUAUAAAUAGUUUUUAUUUGUUACAAUUUGUUUGAAUUGAAGGGCGAAUGUGCUAAAAUUGUAUUGAGAAUACAUCCCCCCAACACGCGUUCAAUACCCAAGUUGUAUGCGCGUAUACAAAAUUGAAACAUUUGGUUAUACAUAUGCAUAUAUGUACAUACGUACAUAAGUAUAAUAAUUAAAAAAUAAAAUAAACAACAACACCAAAAAACAACAAUGUAAUGAAGUGCACAGUUGUAAAAAAAAGUUGAAAUAAUGAGCUCAAUUCAGCCUACGUACUUUGCUUGCAAAAAUAGGAAAGCUAAAACAACAACAAAUACUUGUAACAUAUACAUUCACACAUUCACACACACACAUACAUAUGCAUGGCAUGCAAAAAAUAUGAAUGACGGAAUUUUGAAGUUUAUUUGUUGUAUUUUAUUUCUGCAGACGUUAUUAGAUGCAUUUUGCCUUAUUUUCUUGUUUAAUUUUUAAUUAUUUCUAGCUUUUUAGUCGUUAAUUGCGCACAUACAUACGUACGCGUAUAAAAAGUAUGCAAAUUGUGCAAUUUUUGUAUAAAAUUUGUGAAAGUUAUACUUUUCAAUUGUUGUUGUUUUUGAAAAAAUUAGUAUAUGCACUUUUUCUAGCCGUUUUAUAUAUACUACAUACAUGUUUGUAAGCAUGUCGAACUGAAAAGAUUUUAAAGUCAAUAAUCCAAAAAAUUGAUUUCCAAGCAUCUCAAGUACUUACGUUAAUAUAAACGUCCAAGCAAAAGACAUUAUUUCUUCGAAACAUGUGACAGUUCUUUAUGAACAACAACUCAACCCUUAACUAAUACAAUUUGUAUGUUUUUUGCUGCACUCGUGCUAAACUAAAACUAACCUUCAAUUUAGUUAGUUGAAACUCUCUUCU